CUAAUAAUGAUGAACAGAAGAGUAGCUGGCAAUAGCUUGCACAGAGAGUUUCCGAAACUGAAAAAGGAAAUCAAGUCUGACAGCGAAACACAUCUGGGAAUUGACCAGCUGAAAGACAGUAAGCUGGUUCCGGUCGGGACCGUUAUCCUAGCUGAUUAAAAUAGCAAUGAGGCUUAUUUUGAAAAAAAUAAGUAAAUUGAGGUGGAACCACGUUUGAACGUCCUCUUG
rnacentral:ncRNA from 1 species